AGGAAGAGCUAGAACCACUGGAAGACCCAGAGCUGGAACCAGAACUGCUGCUGGAGCUGGAGCUUGAGAGAGCCGGGGGAGAGAACAGACUAUUUGCUAGCUUCAUCUACAUUUGAGGUCUCACCUGCUGCUCCCACUAGAAGCACUGCGCCGUUUACGACCCUUGUCCCUGCCUCGAUCCUUCUCAGCUCCCUCCUUCACCGUCCCUGUUUUCUCUUUUCCUCGUUCUUUAGCC